CAAACUUCCAUCACCACGACUCUGCCGCCGCCACCUCCAAAUUCUUUUUGACGACCACCUUCUAGCGCCACCACCAGCCAGCCCCACCGCAACCCCCAGCCUCCACGUACCACGAUGGCUGCAGGCCUGUAGCAGGCCGCCAUGCCUGCGCCGAGCAGCCACCGCCGCCGCCGCCGAACUCCCGCAGUCAGAUCUGGGCCCAAGCCCACACGAGAGCACCAGAUCCCCACACCAGCGGCCACUCCCUCCUCCUCUCCGAUGCAAGCCGGCACCACCGCCGGCGCCCCGGAGGAGACACCUUGACGCCACAGAUGCUGCCGUGAACCCCGCCGCAUGGAUUACCACUGGUCGCCACAAGCUCCCCCAAGUCACGAGCGCACCACUUGGCUCUGGGAGAAACGGAUCCCAUCGCCGCUGGUGACGGAGAGAGGGAGGAGGAGGUGGAGCCAGCAAGAGCAACAUCGCACCGUCGGUAACAACACACAUCUUGAGGGACUUGCUCGGUUCCUCUGAAUCCUUAUAUUCUGCCGUAAUCUGUGAUAGAUGUUCCAACAUAGCUACUACUGUCAUGCACCUUUAACUGAUUAUUAUUUAAGAUCACGUUGUGGAAAAAAUUAUUUGCAACUUCAAACUACUAGUAACACAGGUUUUGGCUGUAACACAUGUUCACCUUCAACGCAAACCAGCAAAAACGAUAAUGUACAGGUACCCUAUUGGUUGAUUUGCACGCAUAGAUGAAUCGUGCUGCACACCAAGGCUUCUAACCAUACCUUCAUGUUAUAUAUACAAAUGAUUUAUUCUUAACCCUAGUCGCAACGGUGGCCGGCGUGGUUCCCUCGCCUACGGUCUGUAGGCCCACUAAAUCACGUGUGUGUGCUGCUGCCCGCUCGGGCAUGACAGUGUUGCGCCACCCCGGCCCUGCUAUAUUGUUUCGACUGUUAAUCUGGACUGUAGGUUGGAUCUGAAACAAAUUACCUUAUAAGCCCGUAAUGCAAGUAUGAUUCAGCUGCUAAUGCUUUUCCCCUUCUGUUAUCAAGAUAAAACAUGCAUUGAACCUAUGAUGAACUCUAUUGACAUCAUCAUCUUUGUUCUGGAGGAUAUGGAGGAGCUCCAGGCUGCCUCGACAUUGGCUUCAGGUUGUCAUACCAUGAAAUCUCCGAGCUCUGGAAGUCACUUACGUGCUGCAGUUGUACUACUCCAUGACAUGGAGGACAAAUGAUACAUGAUUAGAGGGCCAAGUGGCGACAAGGAUCAAAUUUCUUGAUUAUAGCAUAUGCCACAUUGGACUGGGUACGCACUGACAAAACAUUGUUUAGCCAUUACUUAGUUCUGCUUUUAUUCAGAUUGUUCAGCCAUUACAUUGGUCACCUCUGAUGCAUUUCUAAAAUAUGUAAUCAUCUUUUGUACUAGGUUUGUCUUGAAGAAUAAAAGAGGGGCAUAUUAAUUUCUUUUUUAUUUUUCUGCAAACAUCUAGGGUCCAACCUUCUCUAGAACAGGACUCUCCUACUUUUUCCUAGAGAAGCCCCAAUCUGAUGAUGCGUUUCUUUGUCAUGUUGUUGCUUCUACAGGUUCUGAGAAUCUUGAUUCAUGGAUUGAGAAAUACUAAAGUGUAACAUUUAGUUAUCAAUAUUAUGUUUUUUCAUUGUAGGUUGAGAAGUUCAAUAAUACAGUACAUGGUUCCUUGGAUACUUGGAGAAUAUGGAUCUGUUUGGUUCAGAGCCGAGAGCCGCCGUGCCAAAUUAUUGGCAAAGUGUGUUGGCCAGCAUUUGGAUGGACACCAACUUUGGUCCUGCUUCAGUUUGCUGCUCCAACUCUUGGUGAGAUGACGGUGGCGAAUUUGUCAGCCAAAAAUUUGGCGAGCCUAGCUUUGGUAGGGCUAGCAUGGGCGCAAGCCAGAAGCCCCUAUAUGUUGAUGCUUGGUACUUGGAGGAGAGUCGAAAAUAAUUCUUUCAAUUUUUAGAAAUUUUAUAUUAUGUAAAGUGUAUUUUCUAAGAAAGUGAUGUACUCCUAAUGAUGAUACUUGCAUUGCAAUGUAACAGAUUGUGCAAUUGAAUCAAUAUAUUAGUUCAUUUCCACUCUCU